rnacentral:SRP_RNA from 1 species
GCCUGGUGUGGUGGUGUAUGCCUGUAGUCCCAGCUGCUCAGGAGGCUGAGGUAGGAGGAUUGCUUGAGCCUAGGAGUUCUAGGCGGUAGUGCACUAUGCUGACUGGUGUCCGCAUUAAGUUCAGCGUUAAUAUGGUUACCUCCCGGAGAGGGGGAUCACCAGGUUACCUAAGGAGCGGUGAACCAGCCCAGGUCGGAAACAGCAAGUCAAAACUCCCAUGCUGAUCAGUACUGGGAUCGCACCUGUGAAUAGCCACUGCACUCCAGCCUGGGCAACAUAGCAAGACCCCUGUCUCU